CGAAAGUCGGACUAAUACCGUAUAAAUAUCCUAUGCAGGCANCUAACUAGGAUUAAAGGUUUAGCGGUAAGGGAUGGGGAUGCGUCUGAUUAGGCAGUUGGCGGGGUAACGGCCCACCAAACCGACGAUCAGUAGGGGUUCUGAGAGGAAGGUCCCCCCACAUUGGAACUGAGACACGGUCCAAACUCCUACGGGAGGCAGCAGCG
rnacentral:rRNA from 1 species